AGACCAUGAUGGAGGCACUACAAUAACAAUCCCUUGAGUCUUUCCCAAGCCUUAAACAAUGAUUCUCCUUCUGUCUGUUUAAACUCUAUGAUUUGGCUUCUUAAUUU